rnacentral:rRNA from 1 species
GACGAAGGAUGCAAGUGUUAUCCGGAAUCACUGGGCGUAAAGCGUCUGUAGGUGGUUUAAUAAGUCAACUGUUAAAUCUUGAGGCUCAACCUCAAAAUCGCAGUCGAAACUAUUAGGCUAGAGUAUAGUAGGGGUAAAGGGAAUUUCCAGUGGAGCGGUGAAAUGCGUAGAGAUUGGAAAGAACACCGAUGGCGAAGGCACUUUACUGGGCUAUUACUAACACUCAGAGACGAAAGCUGGGGUAGCAAAUGGG